AAUCAGAGUUUUAAAGAGGAGACAUUUGUCUCUGCUAGGGUUCUUACCUCCUUCUACCACCGUCACUCGUUCUUUGUUCUUCUCCAUUUGCGGUCGCUCGUUCUCUAAUCCUUGCCGUGAGCUGUUGCUGGUUCUCUGCUCCUCACUGUGCGCCGUCGUUGCGACUCUACUUCUCCCCGUGUCUCGCCGUAUCUCGCCGCCGCUGAUGGGGUAUAAUAGCAAUGAAGUGCUGUAAUAAGGUAGUGAUUGCCAAGAAGAGUUCACACAGCUGGCAAAGACUCGAAAUUCAUCCCAAAAAGACAUCGGGUGGAGUGAGGGGCUCAUUCGGUAGUGUUAGUGAUUGCUAAUUCAUUGUUGGCUUGGGCACCUCUUGAUGCUGCAGGAACCUCUUCAUCUAUUUCUCAGCCAAUUUGAUUUCAUUUCUUUGUUUCUAUACACACAAAGGGGAGGUAACAUUCUUUAAUUUGUCUAGGUAGGGGGAUCAAACACCAAAGAAAUUUGUUAUUAUUAUUCUUUCAUUCUUUGUUGCAGAUAACAUUUCUUUCUUGUGCUUUCGUAAGAAGAAUGAAUAUUCUCAUAGAAAAUUUUGAAGCACUAAUGAUACAGUUUUGGGGGAAAUGAAGAAAGACUACAUGCUAUAUGGAGGGAAGGGCAUUACCAGAAAUUAUCCUAGUUAAAUGUCUAUACGAAUGCUAAAGAUUGUCAUAUAUGCUGUUAAGUUAAUGCAUGGUGCAUUAGAACCUUUGUUAAUUUUUUUUUUUUUUUUGAAAGUUGUAUUCAAUUAGAACAAUAAUGAAAGAGUUCCCAAAAUGAGUUUUGGUUAUUCUUGAAGAAAUUGAAGACAAAAAUUUGAGGUUAUUUGAGGUGAAAUAGAUAAAUGGAGUGUUAUUUGUGUUGGUUCCUUUUUCUAAAGCUUUCCAAAUGCUUUUAAUGGUACUCCAUGGCUUGAAUAUUCCAGAUAGAACUAAUGAACUAUUAUCUCAUCCUUUAGCUG